rnacentral:misc_RNA from 1 species
GUCAGGUCUUGUAAACGUUCGUACCUGUCAGUUGAGUAGUAGUAGUGAAAGGAGAACAUGCUCUGUCAGAUAUUAUUUAUUAAUUCCGUGUUUUUUUAGUGUUCUGUUGUUGGUUUAAUUGCUAUCUGUAUUUUUAUAAUUCCUAGAAAGUUUUGAAAUCGCAAUCAGAAUGAGACACAGUUCUCCUAGGACUGAAAUUGAUGAAGUCAAUGGAAAUUUGUAUGUUGACCUUUUUAAUCUGAUAGUAGAAUCUCGUAUACCUGGAAUCAAUGAAAGAGGUUAUGGUAAUGGAUACCAUUGUCCCCCUCUUUUAGGUCAAAAUAUGCAUUUGUGCGAUUUAAUGAAUCCUGAGUGUCAAAAACAUCAAACUAUGAUCCAUCAUUUAUUGGGAGCAGUUAGACAUAAUGUUUUUGAGAUUGAAGUUCUGAUGCUUCCAGACUGUUGUUCUGAGUCUAAGUUAAGUGAAAGAAUACAACAUAAAGAAUAUGUGCUUCUUGAAAGAUGGUCUAUGACAUUUUUUGAAAGCGACAAAGCCCAAUUGAGCAUUGAAAUUCCAGAACUUCUAAGAGCAGUGCGCUCUUUUCUGCAUUUUUCACAAAUUAGUGCUUGGUUAAGUUCUACAAAAGGAAAAUCCCCUGCUAAUAUAUAUUAUUGGGUGAAGCCUACAUCUGAUCCAUCUGCAACAAAAUUUGAAAAUAAUCCUGAAGUCCAUGCUUUUCCACCAUUUAAAGUUAAUGAUGAACUAUGUGGAACUGUAAGAGUUAACUUCCCUACCAGGAAGCAGUAUAUACCAAUCAUUCCUUGUUCCAAACAUCCUCCUCAUCCAGGAUUAAGAUUAAGGUUAACUGAAGAAUCUAGUUUAACUCCAUCUAUUGCUUUAACCACACAAAUUGUCAAGCAUUUGCAAAAGACUUGUGAUAACCAGGAAUCUAUUACUUCUGUUAAACACUGUGACAAUGAUUCAAAUUCCUUAAAAAGUAGCUCAACAAAUAUUAAUAGUCUAACUCAUAGUUUGAUGGAUAUUAAUAAAACUAAUCGAAUUCUUAAACAUUCUAAUUACCAAAUUGGUCUAAAAACUAAUGGAGCCAUUUCAAGUUCUUGCAAUGCUCAAAUUUGCAACAAAACUGGAAUUUCUUUGAAAUCUGAUGUUGCCAUCUUUAGUAACUACCGACAAACAUAUUCAAAAUGUUCUAGUCAAGAAAAUGUUUGUUUUGAUAAAUUAUCACUCUCUAAUCUUUUGCCUAAAGAUGAAUCUAAGAUUAAUAAAUUGAAUAAAAUUGUACUUCCCUUGUUUUGUGAAACAAAUUCUUUGGUUGGGGAAAUUUCUUCUCAGCAAACAGAUAAACCAAUUGUACCAAAAUGUUCUAGUACUUCAAACCUUAUUACCUCUGAUGUCUGCAAUGUAUUUUCCAAUGUUUCUAACUUAUUAUCAACUAUAGAACCUAGUCAAAGUAAUGUCUCACAUAAUCCUCUUGAAAACGCUUCACUUUUGGAAAUAAAAAAGAAUAACUUAAAAAAAUCUCUCAAGCGAAGACAUAUUCUAAGAAGUGAAGAGCUGAACAUCAUUCCAAAUAAAAAGUGUUUCUAUAAAGAAAAAUGUGAGAAGAUAGAAAGUUUUAAUAAUAAGCGAUCUUUAUUUCAACAAAAUAAAACUCUUAAAGAACCUUCUAAAAGAAAGCACAGCCACUCUUUAGAAAGUUCAAAAACAGCUUCCAAUUUAGCUAACCAUAUUAAAGUUGAAAAAUGCAACAUUGAAAAGUAUGGUGAUGUAUGGAAUAAUUCCUCCAAAAGUUCUUCCAAAAGAAAAGCAGUAGUUGAAAAAUCACAACAAUCCUUAGAAAAGUGCUCAAAUGAAAGAUGGAGGUAUUGUUUUAACAAUAAUGAGAGCAAUCUUGAAUCAUCAAUUACUUAUAUAAACUCUGAACUAGUCAAUUUUCCUGUACAAACUGGUAAUACAAAUCAAUUUGUAAAUGGAAACUUAGAUCCAGCUAAUUUGUUUUCUUCUGACUGUAAUGAUGUAAUCUCUGCCAAAUCAGAUUGUGAAGCAUUUAAAUGUUUGAGUACAAAGCUGAAUUUGAAUGUUUUAAAGUCUUCCUAUAAUGCAAAGGAUGCUUUGAUGCAUAAAAAUUGCCUUAAUGCAAACAGUGAUAUCAAUAGUGAUAUUAGAAAAUCUAUUGCUUUUUCCAAUAAUGUAAUGGGUGAAAAUGUAUCUAAAGUUUGUUUAACCAAUAAGUCAUCUAAAACUAGUGGUUUUCAAACUAAGAAUUAUAAGAUUAAAAAGCGUUAUAUAAAUAAUUUUUAUAAAUCUUGUCGUUUGCAUAAGAUAAAUUUGUAUCAGUUCUCUAAUCAUGAAAAAAUUUCUUCCUUAAAUGACAAGCAAAGCAAAUUUCUAGAGCUUUUGAAAUCUUCAAAUACAAAAAGGCAAAAAUUCUCUUAUUUAAAUGUUUCAUGUACUAGAGCAUCAAAGCUUUUGUUGUGGGAUAAAAAAGAGAAGAAAGAAUCUCUGGCCAGAAACAUAUGUGAAUCUAGUACAAAAUCUAGCUCAUUGGACUUAAUCCAGGUCAAGAAAACCGAAGAAGAAAACCAAGAGAAACGAAGAAACCUACAAAAUAAAAGUGCUAAUAGUUUUGCUCAAAACCCUAUAUUUGCUGAGAACCACAACUCUGAAAUAAUUAUUUCAAACUCCGAUUUAUUGAGGAAAAAAUCUAGCAAGGAUAGCUCACUGUAUUUGAUUUCAUGUGAAGGUGACAAAAGUGAACCAUCUUUGUUUAAAAGUAAGAACUUAGUACAUGAUUUUCAAGAUUCAAAUAAAAAUCUGGUUACCUUCCAAAGGCUGAGCCUUUGGCUAAGGGAUCUAUUAGACUGAAGUAACUGAGAACAUGAAUGGCAUACCUUGAACUCCAACACAUUUUGGAAGUUAACAUAACACUUGUUUAAUGGAAUAGGAUACCAGUCCAAACUUGGGAAAAAAAUCAGUUUUUUCAUGUAACAGUUCUU